AACGAACGCUGGCGGCAGGCUUAACACAUGCAAGUCGAGCGCCCCGCAAGGGGAGCGGCAGACGGGUGAGUAACGCGUGGGAACGUAUCUUUUGGUUCGGAACAACUCCGGGAAACUGGAGCUAAUACCGGAUAAGCCCUAACGGGGAAAGAUUUAUCGCCGAAGGAUCGGCCCGCGUCUGAUUAGCUAGUUGGUGAGGUAACGGCUCACCAAGGCGACGAUCAGUAGCUGGUCUGAGAGGAUGAUCAGACACACUGGGACUGAGACACGGCCCAGACUCCUACGGAAGGCAGCAGUGGGGAAUAUUGGACAAGGGGGGCAAGCCUGAUCCAGCCAUGCCGGGUGAGUGAUGAAGGCCUUAGGGUUGUAAAGCUCUUUUGUCCGGGAAGAUAAUGACUGUACCGGAAGAAUAAGCCCCGGCUAACUUCGUG
rnacentral:rRNA from 1 species